rnacentral:tRNA from 2 species
GGGGUGUUAGGCAAGCGGUUAAGCCGCCAGUCUUUCAAGCUGGUAAUCACGGGUUCAAAUCCCGUACACCCUA